CUCAGGGAGGUAGUGACAAGAAAUAACAACACUGGAAAUUUGAUUUCUAGUGAUUGGAAUGAUGGGAAUCCAAACCCCUUUCAGAGUAACAAUUGGAGGGCAAGUCUGGUGCCAGCAGCCGCGGUAAUUCCAGCUCCAAUAGCGUAUAUUAAAGUUGUUGCAGUUAAAAAGCUCGUAGUUGGAUGUCUGUUGGAAGCAAUCAUCAGUCCGCCCUAUUUGAUUAGGGUGUGAAUAUGAUGAAUUCCGGCAUAAUUGUCUCCCUAUUGUUAAUAUUCUGAUUGUUAGAUUCAUUUCUAACAAUAAUACGAUUAUUAAUAAUAAGGGGGAAAUGUUACUUUGAGAAAAUUAGAGUGUUUGAAGCAGGCUUUUGUUGCCUUGAAUACUGCAGCAUGGAAUAACAAUAUAGGAUUUCGGUUCUAUUUUGUUGGUUCUUUUUUUAGGACUGAAAUAAUGAUUAAUAGGGACAGUUGGGGGCAUUCGUAUUUAACUGUCAGAGGUGAAAUUCUUAGAUUUGUUAAAGACGAACUACUGCGAAAGCAUUUGCCAAAGAUGUUUUCAUUAAUCAAGAACGAAAGUUAGGGGCUCGAAGACGAUCAGAUACCGUCGUAGUCUUAACCAUAAACUAUGCCGACUAGAGAUAGGAAAUUGUCAUUUUACUUGACUU
rnacentral:rRNA from 1 species